AAAUUGAAGAGUUUGAUCAUGGCUCAGAUUGAACGCUGGCGGCAGGCCUAACACAUGCAAGUCGAACGGUAACAGGAAGCAGCUUGCUGCUUUGCUGACGAGUGGCGGACGGGUGAGUAAUGUCUGGGAAACUGCCUGAUGGAGGGGGAUAACUACUGGAAACGGUGGCUAAUACCGCAUAACGUCGCAAGACCAAAGAGGGGGACCUUCGGGCCUCUUGCCAUCAGAUGUGCCCAGAUGGGAUUAGCUUGUUGGUGAGGUAACGGCUCACCAAAGCGACGAUCCCUAGCUGGUCUGAGAGGAUGACCAGCCACACUGGAACUGAGACACGGUCCAGACUCCUACGGGAGGCAGCAGUGGGGAAUAUUGCACAAUGGGCGCAAGCCUGAUGCAGCCAUGCCGCGUGUAUGAAGAAGGCCUUCGGGUUGUAAAGUACUUUCAGCGGGGAGGAAGGUGUUGCGGUUAAUAACCGCAGCAAUUGACGUUACCCGCAGAAGAAGCACCGGCUAACUCCGUGCCAGCAGCCGCGGUAAUACGGAGGGUGCAAGCGUUAAUCGGAAUUACUGGGCGUAAAGCGCACGCAGGCGGUCUGUCAAGUCGGAUGUGAAAUCCCCGGGCUCAACCUGGGAACUGCAUUCGAAACUGGCAGGCUUGAGUCUUGUAGAGGGGGGUAGAAUUCCAGGUGUAGCGGUGAAAUGCGUAGAGAUCUGGAGGAAUACCGGUGGCGAAGGCGGCCCCCUGGACAAAGACUGACGCUCAGGUGCGAAAGCGUGGGGAGCAAACAGGAUUAGAUACCCUGGUAGUCCACGCCGUAAACGAUGUCUACUUGGAGGUUGUGCCCUUGAGGCGUGGCUUCCGGAGCUAACGCGUUAAGUAGACCGCCUGGGGAGUACGGCCGCAAGGUUAAAACUCAAAUGAAUUGACGGGGGCCCGCACAAGCGGUGGAGCAUGUGGUUUAAUUCGAUGCAACGCGAAGAACCUUACCUGGUCUUGACAUCCACAGAACUUUCCAGAGAUGGAUUGGUGCCUUCGGGAACUGUGAGACAGGUGCUGCAUGGCUGUCGUCAGCUCGUGUUGUGAAAUGUUGGGUUAAGUCCCGCAACGAGCGCAACCCUUAUCCUUUGUUGCCAGCGAUUAGGUCGGGAACUCAAAGGAGACUGCCAGUGAUAAACUGGAGGAAGGUGGGGAUGACGUCAAGUCAUCAUGGCCCUUACGACCAGGGCUACACACGUGCUACAAUGGCGCAUACAAAGAGAAGCGACCUCGCGAGAGCAAGCGGACCUCAUAAAGUGCGUCGUAGUCCGGAUUGGAGUCUGCAACUCGACUCCAUGAAGUCGGAAUCGCUAGUAAUCGUGGAUCAGAAUGCCACGGUGAAUACGUUCCCGGGCCUUGUACACACCGCCCGUCACACCAUGGGAGUGGGUUGCAAAAGAAGUAGGUAGCUUAACCUUCGGGAGGGCGCUUACCACUUUGUGAUUCAUGACUGGGGUGAAGUCGUAACAAGGUAACCGUAGGGGAACCUGCGGUUGGAUCACCUCCUUA
rnacentral:rRNA from 1 species